UGGGGAAUUUUGGACAAUGGGCGAAAGCCUGAUCCAGCAAUGCCGUGUGUGUGAAGAAGGCCUUCGGGUUGUAAAGCACUUUUGUCCGGAAAGAAAUCCUUGGCUCUAAUACAGUCGGGGGAUGACGGUACCGGAAGAAUAAGCACCGGCUAACUACGUGCCAGCAGCCGCGGUAAUACGUAGGGUGCAAGCGUUAAUCGGAAUUACUGGGCGUAAAGCGUGCGCAGGCGGUUUGCUAAGACCGAUGUGAAAUCCCCGGGCUCAACCUGGGAACUGCAUUGGUGACUGGCAGGCUAGAGUAUGGCAGAGGGGGGUAGAAUUCCACGUGUAGCAGUGAAAUGCGUAGAGAUGUGGAGGAAUACCGAUGGCGAAGGCAGCCCCCUGGGCCAAUACUGACGCUCAUGCACGAAAGCGUGGGGAGCAAACAGGAUUAGAUACCCUGGUAGUCCACGCCCUAAACGAUGUCAACUAGUUGUUGGGGAUUCAUUUCCUUAGUAACGUAGCUAACGCGUGAAGUUGACCGCCUGGGGAGUACGGUCGCAAGAUUAAAACUCAAUGAAUUGACGGGGUCAUAGCUGUUUCCU
rnacentral:rRNA from 1 species